AUAUUUAGAUGAAAAGUGCCAAUGAUAAAAUUGCAGAGCAACAUGAAAUACUUCCGAUACAGCUUUAUGUUGCUCAACACGUGCUACACAAGUGUUUUGCCGAACGUGAAAAGACGCCCGCGAAUACCAAAGUGCCUCGAGCCAACGUUACUAGAAUACUAGUAACGUUGCCUCGAGCGGCCUGUCGCGCGACAAUUUUGUCCUGUAUUCGUGGGCUAGUGCUCUCUGUUCUCGCGCGCUUAGUUCACGUUGAAGCGAGAGGCAGCCCGAAAAGGGGAAUUCGAUUGCCGCUGCUGCCACUCAUGCCAGCGCUCCGAUAUCAAGGGUCCGCGGUCAUUCAGUGAGAUGUGUUCAUGUGUAACGGUGCGUGUGACACUAUGGUUAUUUAUUUAUUUAGCAAGCGAAUGUUUACUGUAGUUUAUGCAGCUGAUAAACUACUGACAUUACAGCUUAUAGCCGUCUAAUAAUUUGCUAUUGCAAUCGAUGCUUCGCCUUUCGGGCAAACCUGCAACCUCUUUAUAAUGCGAAAGCAUUAUAUGCGCCAUUACGGAAAAAUCCGGCAUCGUCGGCGUCGCCACCAAGCGAUCGUACCAAAAAUGGGCGACAACGCAGAGUAAAAACACCUAAAAAAUGCUCGGAUUGACGUCAAAUUUCUCACAAAGUAAAUCAACAGCUUUGAAUACAAAAUUUGAUAAAUUUCGGAGUGGAUGAGAACCGAACCGGGGCCUCCGGCUUGCGAGACGAGCACGCUUCCCCGAUCCCGCGCUGGCUCCACGGUCCUGGUUGACUAAAGGCGUCACGAGCGUCACUGUCACAUCACGUCGAAAGGUGUGGCCUAGUGCGUGCGUCUGUGUGCACGUGACGACGCAGCCAAUGGAGAGGGGAGGUUAGGUCACGUCA
rnacentral:lncRNA from 1 species